rnacentral:rRNA from 1 species
UAGAGUUUGAUCAUGGCUCAGAAUGAACGCUGGCGGCGUGCCUAAUACAUGCAAGUCGAACGAGAACGGGACUAAGCUUGCUUAGUCUGUCAGCUAAGUGGCGCACGGGUGAGUAAUGUAUAGGUAAUGUGCCCCUUGGAGAGGAAUAACAGUUGGAAACGACUGCUAAUACCUCAUACUCCGCUUUUACACAAGUAAAAUCGGGAAAUGUUUGCUUUGCUCUCGCCAAGGGAUCGGCCUAUAUCGCAUCAGCUUGUUGGUAGGGUAACGGCCUACCAAGGCUAUGACGCGUAGCUGGUCUGAGAGGAUGAUCAGCCACACUGGAACUGAGACACGGUCCAGACUCCUACGGGAGGCAGCAGUAGGGAAUAUUGCACAAUGGGGGAAACCCUGAUGCAGCAACGCCGCGUGGAGGAUGACACUUUUCGGAGCGUAAACUCCUUUUAUCAGAGAAGAUA